rnacentral:rRNA from 1 species
CCUACGGGAGGCAGCAGUGAGGAAUAUUGGUCAAUGGGCGCGAGCCUGAACCAGCCAAGUCGCGUGAGGGAAGACGGUCCUAUGGAUUGUAAACCUCUUUUGUCGGGGAGCAAAAGACGCCACGCGUGGCGUUCCGAGAGUACACGAAGAAAAAGCAUCGGCUAACUCCGUGCCAGCAGCCGCGGUAAUACGGAGGAUGCGAGCGUUAUCCGGAUUUAUUGGGUUUAAAGGGUGUGCAGGCGGAAGAUUAAGUCAGCGGUAAAAUUGAGAGGCUCAACCUCUUCGAGCCGUUGAAACUGGUUUUCGUGAGUGAGUGAGAAGUAUGCGGAAUGCGUGGUGUAGCGGUGAAAUGCAUAGAUAUCACGCAGAACUCCGAUUGCGAAGGCAGCAUACCGGCGCUCAACUGACGCUCAUGCACGAAAGUGUGGGUAUCGAACAGGAUUAGAUACCCGUGUAGUC